CAUGGGACGAAAGUCUGACCGAGCAACGCCGCGUGAGUGAAGAAGGUUUUCGGAUCGUAAAACUCUGUUGUUAGAGAAGAACAAGGACGUUAGUAACUGAACGUCCCCUGACGGUAUCUAACCAGAAAGCCACGGCUAACUACGUGCCAGCAGCCGCGGUAAUACGUAGGUGGCAAGCGUUGUCCGGAUUUAUUGGGCGUAAAGCGAGCGCAGGCGGUUUCUUAAGUCUGAUGUGAAAGCCCCCGGCUCAACCGGGGAGGGUCAUUGGAAACUGGGAGACUUGAGUGCAGAAGAGGAGAGUGGAAUUCCAUGUGUAGCGGUGAAAUGCGUAGAUAUAUGGAGGAACACCAGUGGCGAAGGCGGCUCUCUGGUCUGUAACUGACGCUGAGGCUCGAAAGCGUGGGGAGCAAACAGGAUUAGAUACCCUGGUAGUCCCAA
rnacentral:rRNA from 1 species